rnacentral:rRNA from 1 species
CAGUAGCCGCGGUAAUACGAGGGGUGCAAGCGUUACUCGGAUUGAUUGGGUGUAAAGGGUGUGCAGACGGCUUAUUAAGUCACUUGUUAAAUUCUUCGGCCUAACUGAAGGUCUGCAAGUGAUACUGAUGAGCUAGAGGGUGGAAGAGAGAAGUGGAAUUCUCGGAGUAGCGGUAAAAUGCGUAGAUCUCGAGAGGAACACCAAUGGCGAAGGCAGCUUCUUGGUCCAUUCCUGACGUUCAUACACGAAAGCGUGGGGAGCAAACAGGAUUAGAUACCCCCGUAGUCCCUGUCUCUUAUAC